GUGGACCAGUCCUGAGCUGUCUGAGAUGUUCUGAAUUUACUAUGUGCAUGCUCUCUCACUUCCCCCAAAACAGGAAAAGGAGAAAAAAGUCCUGAAUGAGUUCAUUUUAUUAAGCUGGCUUGACAAAGCCAUAGACCGUUGGGUUUGGCAUAGACGAAGAAUACAGAAUGGGUUAAAUAACCUUCUGAGAUGUAUCAUUUGGUGUAUUGUAUUAAGGGAUUUAAGAAAACAGGAUGUUGGGCCUUUUUGUUUGGCUGGUUUUGUGUGCAUCGAUUCAAGGUAACAGUGACAUUGUGAAAGCGACCAAACCAACUCUAGAAUUGCAGAGUUUGCUGGAAAACUCCACGGGUGGGCUUCAACAUUUCUCCUUUGUUUACAUCUGCUUCCGAGACCUCUUUCAGGGCUGAGGUCCAGCAUGAUGGUGCUGCUGUGUUUGCACUGGAAUCCAGCAUCUAUAGCAAGACCUUGGCGGAGGUCUAAUUCAGUUUUCUCCUGUGGCAGAUCAUGGGGUACAAACAUCUACUACUGGAUUAAAUCGAAUAGAUUGCACCAACAGAAAUCAGCACUACCUUGUAUUGACUUAGAGGAUCCCCCCCGUCCAGCACUGAUGGAGAAAUCCUUGGAUCAUCAUCUCUGUGGCAAUUGCUGGACAACAGUAUUUCAUCUCCACUGAGGCUUUGAAUUCCUGGGUGGCCCAUUUCCCUUCCUCCUUCCCAGCCAGCUUUCCAUGCAGCUCUUUAUGGACCAAAUGGUUUUCAGUAUUGAAACUACAUGAGCCAUUAUUGGACACUCUCAUGUUUUUUAUCCACUCAUGCUUUAACUGUGCCUGGUUUCAUUUGGGGGCUAGAUCAAAUGCAACAUAAUGCUCAGGGUUUUCUGUUUUCCCAGAUUUUGCCUGUUUUCCUUUCACCUCCUCCUCAUUUAGAUGCAACGGAAGUCGCAUUUCUUUUCCAUUGUGAUGGAUUCUAUGAUUUCUGGUGGAAUCUAUGUUCCCAGAGCUAAUAUUAAUAAUUAGGGUAUGUUUACUUUUUGUUUUGAUACCGUUCUGUCUUCCUUCAGUGCUCUGCAGAUGGAAGUAAAUUUUUAUCCACUGAUGUUGCCUGUAAGGGCAUUUUAUUUUGGGGAGGGGGACCAUGAGAUCUCUUAUUGGGACCACAAUGCUCCUAGCAUAGGCUGAGUGGCAGAAGACCCAACAUACUAUGCAAUGCAUUGUAACUUUUUGUGAUAAUAUCUCUUCUCACAUUUUAGAGG